rnacentral:ncRNA from 1 species
UGGUUCCGCUAUAUCUUUCCGGAAUAGCGGAUUAAAAGGGAAUCGGGUGUAAAUCCCGGACAGUCCCGCUGCUGUGAAGCUCUAUUCAAACGUCUUAGCAAACGCUAUUGCCACUGGCCGCUGGCCGGGAAGGCGCUGGGACGGGAGUCAGUCAGAAGACCUGCCUUUCAUUAA